rnacentral:rRNA from 1 species
UACGGGAGGCAGCAGUGGGGAAUAUUGCACAAUGGGCGCAAGCCUGAUGCAGCCAUGCCGCGUGUAUGAAAAAGGCCUUCGGGUUGUAAAGUACUUUCAGUCGUGAGGAAGGUGUUAAGGUUAAUAACCUUAGCAAUUGACGUUAGCGACAGAAGAAGCACCGGCUAACUCCGUGCCAGCAGCCGCGGUAAUACGGAGGGUGCGAGCGUUAAUCGGAAUUACUGGGCGUAAAGGGCACGCAGGCGGUUAAUUAAGUUGGAUGUGAAAUCCCCGGGCUUAACCUGGGAAUGGCAUUCAAGACUGGUUAGCUAGAGUCUUGUAGAGGGGGGUAGAAUUCCGAUGUGUAGCGGUGAAAUGCGUAGAGAUGUGGAGGAAUACCGGUGGCGAAGGCGGCCCCUGGACAAAGACUGACGCUCAUGUGCGAAAGCGUGGGGAGCAAACAGGGAUUAGAUACC